rnacentral:rRNA from 1 species
GACGAACGCUGGCGGCGCGCCUAACACAUGCAAGUCGAACGAGCGAGAGAGAGCUUGCUUUCUUGAGCGAGUGGCGAACGGGUGAGUAACGCGUGAGGAACCUGCCUCAAAGAGGGGGACAACAGUUGGAAACGACUGCUAAUACCGCAUAAGCCCACGACCCGGCAUCGGGUUGAGGGAAAAGGAGCAAUCCGCUUUGAGAUGGCCUCGCGUCCGAUUAGCUGGUUGGUGAGGUAACGGCCCACCAAGGCGACGAUCGGUAGCCGGACUGAGAGGUUGAACGGCCACAUUGGGACUGAGACACGGCCCAGACUCCUACGGGAGGCAGCAGUGGGGAAUAUUGCACAAUGGGGGAAACCCUGAUGCAGCGACGCCGCGUGGAGGAAGAAGGUCUUCGGAUUGUAAACUCCUGUUGUUGAGGAAGAUAAUGACGGUACUCAACAAGGAAGUGACGGCUAACUACGUGCCAGCAGCCGCGGUAAAACGUAGGUCACAAGCGUUGUCCGGAAUUACUGGGUGUAAAGGGAGCGCAGGCGGGAAGACAAGUUGGAAGUGAAAUCUAUGGGCUCAACCCAUAAACUGCUUUCAAAACUGUUUUUCUUGAGUAGUGCAGAGGUAGGCGGAAUUCCCGGUGUAGCGGUGGAAUGCGUAGAUAUCGGGAGGAACACCAGUGGCGAAGGCGGCCUACUGGGCACCAACUGACGCUGAGGCUCGAAAGUGUGGGUAGCAAACAGG